GCCAGACUCCUACGGGAGGCAGCAGUGGGGAAUAUUGCACAAUGGGGGGAACCCUGAUGCAGCGACGCCGCGUGGGUGAAGGAGCACCUCGGUGCGUAAAGCCCUAUCGGCAGGGAAGAAAAGCGAACAGGUUCGCCUGGACGGGACCUGGCUAAGAAGCCCCGGCUAACUACGUGCCAGCAGCCGCGGUAAUACGUAGGGGGCAAGCGUUAUCCGGAUUCACUGGGUGUAAAGGGAGCGUAGACGGCGACGCAAGUCUGGAGUGAAAGCCCGGGGCCCAACCCCGGGACUGCUCUGGAAACUGCGUCGCUGGAGUACGGGAGGGGCAGGCGGAAUUCCUGGUGUAGCGGUGAAAUGCGUAGAUAUCAGGAGGAACACCGGUGGCGAAGGCGGCCUGCUGGACUGCGACUGACGUUGAGGCCCGAAGGCCAGGGGAGCGAAAGGGAUUAGAUACCCUUGUAA
rnacentral:rRNA from 1 species